rnacentral:piRNA from 1 species
UUGGAUGAUGUCUAACGUGGGCCAACCAUC